rnacentral:tRNA from 1 species
CCGAUGUGGGACACCCUAAUACCACUGACUCUUAAUCAGCGGGUCGGGGGUUCGAAACCCUCACGGCGCA